rnacentral:rRNA from 1 species
AUCAACAACUGGGUCACGUUCUAUACACCAGUUCUCGUCAGAUCACUGAAGGUAAGCAACGGCGAGCGUGGUCAGUACCUGGAUAGGUGACGGUCUGGGAGAUCACGUGUUGUUCGUU